rnacentral:rRNA from 1 species
UCGGUUGAUCCUGCCGGACCCGACUGCUAUUUGGGUGAGGAUAAGCCAUGCGAGUUGAAUGGGAAACCUAAAGUUCCCAUGGCAAACUGCUCAGUAACACAUGAUCAACUUACCCUAUAGAGAAAAAUAACCUCGGGAAACUGAGGAUAAUGUUUCAUAGUUGAAUUGGCUUGGAAAAGUUUUUCGACAAAAGGGGUAAAAAAAAUGGUUUUUAUCUGCUAUAGGAUAGGAUCGUGUUCGAUUAUGGUUGUUGGUGAGGUAAUGGCUCACCAAGCCGAUAAUCGAUAGGGGCCGUGAGAGCGGGAGCCCCGAGAUGGGUACUGAGACAACGACCCAGGCCUUACGAGGCGCAGCAGGCGCGAAACCUCCGCAAUACACGAAAGUGUGACGGGGUUACCCAAAGUGUUCAAUUUUGAACUGUGGUAGGUGAGUAAUGUUCCCUACUAGAAAGGAGAGGGCAAGGCUGGUGCCAGCCGCCGCGGUAAAACCAGCUCUUCAAGUGGUCGGGAUAAUUAUUGGGCUUAAAGUGUCCGUAGCCGGUUUAGUAAGUUCCUGGUAAAAUCGGGUAGCUUAACUAUCUAUAUGCUAGGAGUACUACUAUACUAGAGGGCGGGAGAGGUCUGAGGUACUGCAGGGGUAGGGGUGAAAUCUUAUAAUCCUUGUUGGACCACCAGUGGCGAAGGCGUCANACUGGAANNGCGCCUGACGGUGAGGGACGAAAGCCAGGGGAGCGAACCGGAUUAGAUACCCGGGUAGUCCUGGCCGUAAACGAUG